rnacentral:rRNA from 1 species
UACGGAGGGUGCUAACGUUGUUCGGUGUCAUUGGGCUUAAAGGGUGCGUAGGCGGCCGGGUAAGUCAGGUGUGAAAUCCCUCGGCUCAACCGAGGAAUUGUGCUUGAUACUGCCCGACUCGAGGACCAAAGGGGAGAGCGGAACUUCAGGUGUAGCGGUAAAAUGCGUAGAUAUCUGAGGGAACGCCGAAGGCGAAGGCAGCUCUCUGGGUGGUUCCUGACGCUGAGUGCACGAAAGCUGGGGGAGCAAACAGGAUUAGAUACCCUCGUA